rnacentral:lncRNA from 1 species
UUCUGGGACAUUUUAGAGCCCAGGGCAACUUGCUUUAAAUCUCUUUCCCUUUUUAGUGAGAAUUAAUAUUUAUCUUCUUGAGAAAGGCUUCAGAACACUUCUCCCAGUACCACAGUGCUCUUCUUUUCCUAGAUCUCUAAGACCACAGUUGGCAACAAGUGAUAUAUGUGGAAACCUAACUUUGACAACUGGAAACCUAUUCAAUGCAUGAUACAAAGUGUGCAGUCAUCAAGUUAUUGUUAUCAUGGGAGAAAGUGAAAUUCGUUGCUGCAGACAAGAGAGAGAGAGAGAGAGAGAAAGAGAAAUGGUGGUUGAUGUGGGGAUACAAGAAAGACUAUUCAGAGAAGAAGCUGCAGAGCAAGAUAACCGGCAUGAGAAAGCAAGGCUGAGAACCGAGGACACCACCAGAAGAAGAGAAAAGCAAAAGGAAUUACACAUGGCUCUGACAGGAUAAGCGCCUGCAUGCACGGUUAGGGAGUGUUUGUGGAAUGCUUCGUUGACAUGUAAGGGCAAAUGGGAAAGUUAAAAGAGGAAACUUGUGAAUGUAUAUAAGGGAUGUGAGAACCUGUAAUAAACUGUUUGGAUCGUUCA